rnacentral:rRNA from 1 species
UGGGGAAUAUUGGGCAAUUGGCGAAAGCCUGACGCAGCGACGCCGCGUGGAGGAAGACGGCCUUCGGGUUGUAAACUCCUGUCAGGGGUGAAGAAACUUCGCAAGAAGCUGACGGUAACCCCAGAGGAAGCCCCGGCUAACUACGUGCCAGCAGCCGCGGUAAUACGUAGGGGUCAAGCGUUGCUCGGAAUUACUGGGCGUAAAGCGCGUGCAGGCGGUUCAAUAAGUUGGAUGUGAAAGCUCCCGGCUAAACUGGGAGAGGACGUUCAAGACUGUUGGGCUAGAGGAUGAGAGAGGGAAGUGGAAUUCCGAGUGUAGUGGUGAAAUGCGUAGAUAUUCGGAGGAACACCAGUGGCGAAAGCGGCCUCCUGGACCAUUCCUGACACUCAGACGCGAAAGCUAGGGUAGCAAACG